rnacentral:rRNA from 1 species
UACGGAGGGUGCAAGCGUUAUCCGGAUUCACUGGGUUUAAAGGGUGCGUAGGCGGACAGGUAAGUCACUUGUGAAAUCUCUGAGCUUAACUCAGAACGGCCAAGUGAUACUGCAGUGCUAGAGUGUGGAAGGGGCAAUCGGAAUUCUUGGUGUAGCGGUGAAAUGCGUAGAUAUCAAGAGGAACACCUGAGGUGAAGACGGGUUGCUGGGCCAACACUGACGCUGAUGCGCGAAAGCCAGGGGAGCGAACGGG